AUAAUGCCAGUGACACAAUGAAGAAGCAGUAGAAGAAAUUGAACAACAGUAUAGAAAAGGUGCAGGAAACUACUCCCUUCUGGAGGAGCCUAGUGCCCUGCCCAGAAACAAGGAAUGGGAGAGCCCCACAGUUUUUGCUGGGAAGAAGCACUGAACUUCUAGGGCACCAAGGACAUAAUGAAGGCUGAACACCAGGCAGUGAGUUUUGGCCGGGGCUGGGCUUGAACCCACCACCCCAGUAUAUGGGACCGGUGCCCUACUCCUUGAG